AACGCGAAGAACCUUACCUGGGCUCGAAGCACAGUGGACCGGGGUAGAAAUAUCCCUUUUCGCAAGAACUGCUGUGGAGGUGCUGCAUGGCUGUCGUCAGCUCGUGUCGUGAGAUGUUGGGUUAAGUCCCGCAACGAGCGCAACCCUUAUCGUUAGUUGCCAGCGAGUCAAGUCGGGCACUCUAGCGAAACCGCCCCGGAUAACGGGGAGGAAGGUGGGGAUGACGUCAAGUCCUCAUGGCCUUUAUGUCCAGGGCUACACACGUGCUACAAUGGUCGGUACAAACCGUCGCAAACCUGCGAAGGGGAGCUAAUCGGAAAAAGCCGGCCUCAGUUCGGAUUGGAGUCUGCAACUCGACUCCAUGAAGCUGGAAUCGCUAGUAAUCGCGGAUCAGCACGCCGCGGUGAAUACGUUCCCGGGCCUUGUA
rnacentral:rRNA from 1 species